ACACUGUCCAUCUCAGGAGUAUGCUAAAUGUGCUGUUUUAUAAUGCUAUUCUACACAUUUUGUCAGGAUGCUAAGAGAACAUGUUGCAGUUUUAAAGCCUAUUUCACACCUGUGCCAGCAUGUUGGCAGUGGGCCAUACUACAGAUACUGGACCAUAACUGUGCCAGUGCCCAGUGCUAUCCAAGGAUCUGAAAUUGUCCUCCUGGGAGGUGUUGUAUUAGAUCAGGUCAAGUGUACAGUCAGUGAAGAGUUUCUGGUUUCCAGUUUUUCCUGGUUUUGACCUUUCUGCCUGUCCUGAAUCUGAGCCUGCCUGCCAUUCUGUACCUUGCCACACCACACGGAUUAUUGACCCCUGCCU